AAUACAUGCAAGUCGAACGAACUUCCGUUAAUUGAUUAUGACGUACUUGUACUGAUUGAGAUUUUAACACGAAGUGAGUGGCGAACGGGUGAGUAACACGUGGGUAACCUGCCCAGAAGUAGGGGAUAACACCUGGAAACAGAUGCUAAUACCGUAUAACAGAGAAAACCGCAUGGUUUUCUUUUAAAAGAUGGCUCUGCUAUCACUUCUGGAUGGACCCGCGGCGUAUUAGCUAGUUGGUGAGGUAAAGGCUCACCAAGGCAGUGAUACGUAGCCGACCUGAGAGGGUAAUCGGCCACAUUGGGACUGAGACACGGCCCAGACUCCUACGGGAGGCAGCAGUAGGGAAUCUUCCACAAUGGACGCAAGUCUGAUGGAGCAACGCCGCGUGAGUGAAGAAGGGUUUCGGCUCGUAAAGCUCUGUUGUUAAAGAAGAACGUGGGUAAGAGUAACUGUUUACCCAGUGACGGUAUUUAACCAGAAAGCCACGGCUAACUACGUGCCAGCAGCCGCGGUAAUACGUAGGUGGCAAGCGUUAUCCGGAUUUAUUGGGCGUAAAGCGAGCGCAGGCGGUCUUUUAAGUCUAAUGUGAAAGCCUUCGGCUCAACCGAAGAAGUGCAUUGGAAACUGGGAGACUUGAGUGCAGAAGAGGACAGUGGAACUCCAUGUGUAGCGGUGAAAUGCGUAGAUAUAUGGAAGAACACCAGUGGCGAAGGCGGCUGUCUGGUCUGCAACUGACGCUGAG
rnacentral:rRNA from 1 species